AGGACUAUAUUUGCUUACAUAUUCAAAUCUUUUACAAUAGAAACAUCUAUAUAUUAAUUUGUGUAAUUAAAAUAGAAAUAAUAGGCCAUGAGGUGGGGAGAGUCUAGCAGAGAGGAUGGGUAGAAGAACCUCCUUAGCAGGGGGAAUGACUUCCAAACCAGUGAAGUAGAGGGAGCAAGUUUUGGAGGGCCCCAGCCCUGAAGGAGCUGACAUUGGGUAGGUAACAAUGUAUUUGGGUAAAGGAUGCUCUGUUGCCACCCAAGCCUCUUUCCUUAAGUAAAUGGGGAUAAUUCCUAUUUAAUAGGCACACUAAAAGAAUUAAAUAAUAUAUGAGUAAUAAAAAUGGUUAGCAUUUAUUGAACUAUUAACUAACUUUUAUGGAGCAUUUAACCUACGCUGUCUGGUUCCAGAGUCUGCUCUCAGUCCCUCUGAUAUGCUUUCAAAUCCCACUAUGCCACUUACUAGCUGGGUGAUUUGGGGCAAUUAACAUCUCAAGAUCUGCUUUUUCUUUUGUAAAAAUAGUUAUAAUGCUUUCCUCGUAGACCUCACAACUAAUAAAUGUAGACCUUCUUCAUAGGGUUGUUGAAAGAAUGAGUUACUAUUAGUACGGCAGGCCUUCAAAUAGUGUCGUUUCAUUCGAUGUAUUUUCGUUAUAAAGAGAUGCAGUAGGAAUUUAACUUUUUUAUAUCAAUUAGCCUAUAGUCAAAUUGGUUUUGUUAUGUCAUUUUGCUUGAAGUUGCAGAACCUGUCAAUGACAUUGAGGACUUACUGUAAAGAGCUUAGAAACAGUGCCUGGCACUUAAUAAGCAGUCACUAAAUGUUAGCUAUUAUCGUCAUUAUUGUGUGCUAGUCACUGUCCUGAGUUAUAUUAUCUCAUUUAAUACUCAUAACACUCCCAUCAACUCACCUUUACAGAGGAGGAAGUAAAGGUCAGAUUGAGGAUCAUCCUCCAAGUGUGUCUAAAGCCUAUGCUGUUCUCUGCUCUGUGCUUUCACAAGCAUCUGAUGCCUAUUACAGUGCUUAACACACAGCACUCUGGUGGGCGAUAUGCAGCCUAAGCUUUGAAGGAGCCAAGAGUGUUUUGCAGAGACAGGUAAUAAUCCUUCUGAAGUUUUCUACUGCACAGUAUAUACACAGUGGCAAAUAUAACCAGGAAGAAAAAGAUGGCCCCUACAAUCAGGCCCACACCUUGGAGAGAGCAGCUGGGAUGGUACCCAGAGCCCACAGAGCGUAUGAUGGGUGAAGGUAGGAACAAGGCACUGCUCCCUGCUCUUCUGAAUAUCAUUAUAAUUUAAUUUUGAAAUUUGUGACCUUAAAGAUCUCUCAAAGAACCCAUGAAAAAUGCCAACAAAGCUGUGUCUUUUCAGGUAGAUGAGUUACUCUGGGCCUUGGAGCCCUCUAGACACUGGGAUUCCCUGAUGACAAUUGAAAAAUGGGCAAAGGAAAAGAUAAGUGGCCAGUAAAGUAUGAAAAUAUGUUCAAGCAACUAGUAAUCAAAGACAUGCAAAUUACAAAUACAAGGGAUGACAUUUUUAAACUUAUAAUGUAAGCAAAUAUUAAAAAAUAAUAACAUUCAAUGUUGAUGAGUGUAUAAAAAUACCAAAUACCAAAGAAGUAUAAAAUGAUUCAGUCUUUCUGGAGAACAGUUUGGGAAUACACAUCAAUAGCUUUAAAAAUGUGCUUUAAAAAAUAGCUUCAAAAAUUUCCUGUGACCUAACAGUUCGACUUUUAGAACCGUAUCUUAAGUAAAUAAUCAGACAAUAGCACAAAUACUAAUAAUGUAUAAGGAUGUUCAUCACGGUGUUGUUUACAUUGGAAAUCCUUGGAGACAAAUUCCUCCAAAUAGUUAACUGUUUGAGUAAAUUAUGUUAUUAUUCCUGACCUUUCUCUUCAAAAGGAUCCGUAUUGGAUCUUUCUCAACAGCAUUUAACAUGCCCUAUUUGAUCCCAGCUUUAAAAUAAAAACAAAACAAAACAAACAAAAAGCCUCAGAAUUAGGCAGCUAUCAAAUACUAAAAUAUACUGUGAAACUAUAACCACUAGUGUUAAAACAGCUUGGUACUGGCAUCAAAUAUUCAGACAGAUCACUGAAACAAAACAAAGUUAAAAUAAACCUGGGGGUGUUAUGGAAAUUUAGUAUAUGAUAAAGGUGAUAAUCUCAAACCUAUGGGGAAAAGAUGGAUGUUUAAUAAGUGUUGAAACAAAAUGACUACCCAUUUGGAGGGAAAAAUGUAUCCCUACCCACUUCUAAUUCCAGAUGGACCACAUAUUUAAAGGAAAAAAAAAAUACCAGAAGAUAACAUGAAGGAUUUUAAAAAAAUAAUCUUGGAGUACAGAAGAUGUUUCUAAGCAUGAAAAAAAUAUAUAGAAAUCAAAGAUUAAUAAACUUAGCUAUGUAAAAAGUUAAAACUUCUAUUUAACAAAAAAUGCACAGUCAAGGGACAGAUGACUGGAAAUACAAAGCAUACAUGAAAAGAAAGUGCUAAUUUCCUUAGGAUAGAAAAACUACAUAAAAAGUUCUUACAAUUAAGAAUGAAAAAGCAAACAAUCCAGUGGAAAAUGAACAAAAAAUAGAAACAGGCAGUUCAUAAGGAAAGAAAUACAAAUGGCUAAUAAAAACUUUAAAAAGAUGACAAACUCAAGUAAUGUAAAUUACAGGGAAGCAAUUUUUCACUAGCAAAAAAAUAAGAUGUUUUCUAAAACCCAGUUUUGCCAGCAAAUAGAAAUGUAAAUUAAUACAACUUCUCUGAAGGUCUAUCAGAUGAUCCUUACCAAAAUUUUCAAUUCAUAAUCCAUUGACUCAGCAAUUUCAAUUCCAGGAAUUUAUCUUACAAAUAUACAGGAACAAGUUUACAAAGAUGUAUAAAAAGGUUCCUGCAACAUUAUUUGAAAUAGCAAAAACAAAAAACAACCCAAAUGCCCAGCAUUAAGAUACAGUCAUACACACACAAAUAUAUAUAUGUCCAUAUGUACAAAAAAUUUUCUUGAAAAACAUACAAGGAAUUGCUAUUAGUGGAUACACCUGGAGUAAGACUGAGAAAUAGAAAAAAAUUCAACUUUUUAUCAUACAUCUUUUUGUACAGUUUAUAUAGACUUUUACCAUAUGCAUCCAUAUGAAUGCAUUUAAGAUUUCUUUAACAGUUGAUAAUUUUAAUACUAAUUAAAAAAAAACUUCCUCAGAAUACACAGCAGUUCAAAAUGAACUUUGUCUCUGGUUGAGGGUUAAAGGAUGAAACCACAGCUAGGGAAUAAGACGAUUUGAGCAUAAUCCCUUCCUUUUUAAUACAAAAAAAAAAAAUCUGACAAAAUGUUAAUAACUGCCAAACCUGGAUUUGACAUAUUAUCUUUUUUGCUUUUCUACUUUUUUAUAUCUCUCAAAAUAAAAAGUGUAAUUAAAAGAGAAAUAACCAUUAAAAAAAGAAAAACUUUCCUGGAUCCCACAUCCCUCUCCAUCUCCUGCCAACCUUCUUUCCUCCCAUUAACAGUCAAACUUCACAAAAACAUUGUCUAUAAUAGCUUUCCCUAUCUCCUGAACUCCUAUUCACUUGUGAACCCACAGUUGACUUCCACAACUGAUCUACCCCACCUACCCAGACACUGCUCUUACUAAGGUCACCAGAUAAGCUCUUUGUUGCUAAAGCCAAAGAUAUUGUUGAUAUCUUUCAUGAUCUUUCAGCAGCACACAGUUGAAACUCUAAUCUGGUUGACCACUCGUUCUUUCUUGAAACACUCUCAUUUUGGCUGCCAUGAAACUAGACUACCUGCUUUUCUCGCACCAUUUUGGCCUCCCAUUUUCCAGUUCUUUCACCCUCUACCCAAUUUUCUAACGUUGAAGUUCCUCGGGGCCUGAUCCUUGUGCUUCUUCUCUAGUUGUUCUCCUCAGGUGAUCUCAUUUAGUCCCAUGACAUCAAUUGACAUGGACAACAUGAUGGCUUUCAAAUUUACAGUUUCAACCCAAACCUAUAUUUUGAACUCAAGAUCAGUGUAUCCAAUGGGCUAAUUAAUAUAUCCUCCUCACAAGCACUCAAGUUAACAUGUUCAAAAUUAGACUCAAAAUCUUCCCUUCCAAAUUGUUUCUUUUAAGGCAGUACAUUCAAAAUAAUUAUAUAAAUAUUUAUUUAUCUAUUAUAGUAGAAACAUGUUAAUCAUAGACUAAGUGGGGGGAAAAGGAAAUUAUAAAGCAUUAUAUAUCAUUUGUUCCUAUUACUGCAAGACAAAAAGAUAUAUAUAGAUAUCUUUAUAUAUAUAUGUGUGUGUGUGUG